AGAGUUUGAUCCUGGCUCAGGAUGAACGCUAGCGGCAGGCUUAACACAUGCAAGUCGAGGGGUAACAGGAGUAGCAAUACUUGCUGACGACCGGCGCACGGGUGCGUAACGCGUAUGCAACCUACCUUUAACUGGAGAAUAACCCGGAGAAAUUCGGACUAAUACUCCAUAAUAUCUUAGUAAGGCAUCUUACAUAGAUUAAAGAUUUAUCGGUUAAAGAUGGGCAUGCGUGACAUUAGCUAGUUGGUGAGGUAACGGCUCACCAAGGCGACGAUGUCUAGGGGUUCUGAGAGGAUUAUCCCCCACACUGGUACUGAGACACGGACCAGACUCCUACGGGAGGCAGCAGUGAGGAAUAUUGGUCAAUGGGCGCAAGCCUGAACCAGCCAUGCCGCGUGCAGGAUGACGGCCCUAUGGGUUGUAAACUGCUUUUAUACGGGAAGAAACCUUCGGACGUGUCCGGAGCUGACGGUACCGUAAGAAUAAGCACCGGCUAACUCCGUGCCAGCAGCCGCGGUAAUA
rnacentral:rRNA from 1 species